GAUGAACGCUAGCGGGAGGCCUAACACAUGCAAGCCGAGCGGUAUUGUUUCUUCGGAAAUGAGAGAGCGGCGUACGGGUGCGUAACACGUGUGCAACCUGCCUUUAUCUGGGGGAUAGCCUUUCGAAAGGAAGAUUAAUACUCCAUAAUAUAUUGAACGGCAUCGUUUAAUAUUGAAAGCUCCGGCGGAUAGAGAUGGGCACGCGCAAGAUUAGCUAGUUGGUGAGGUAACGGCUCACCAAGGCGAUGAUCUUUAGGGGGCCUGAGAGGGUGAGCCCCCACACUGGUACUGGGAACCGGACCAGACUCCUACGGGAGGCAGCAGUGAGGAAUAUUGGUCAAUGGGUGCAAGCCUGAACCAGCCAUCCCGCGUGAAGGACGACUGCCCUAUGGGUUGUAAACUUCUUUUGUAUAGGGAUAAACCUACCCUCGAGAGGGUAGCUGAAGGUACUAUACGAAUAAGCACCGGCUAACUCCGUG
rnacentral:rRNA from 1 species